UACAGAGGGUGCAAGCGUUAAUCGGAAUUACUGGGCGUAAAGCGCGCGUAGGUGGUUCGUUAAGUUGGAUGUGAAAUCCCCGGGCUCAACCUGGGAACUGCAUUCAAAACUGUCGAGCUAGAGUAUGGUAGAGGGUGGUGGAAUUCCUGGUGUAGCGGUGAAAUGCGCAGAUAUCAGGAGGAACACCAGCGGCGAAGGCGGCGCUCUGGGCCGGAACUGACGCUGAGGAGCGAAGGCGUGGGUAGCAAACAGG
rnacentral:rRNA from 1 species